rnacentral:rRNA from 1 species
GACGAACGCUGGCGGCGUGGAUUAGGCAUGCAAGUCGAACGGUAUCAUCCUUUCGGGGGUGAGAGAGUGGCGAACUGGUGAGUAACACGUAGGUUAUCUACCCUCAAGACGGGGACAACCCAGGGAAACUUGGGCUAAUACCGGAUGUGAGCAACUUUUAGUUGUUUGAAAGGUGGCGUAAGCUGUCGCUUGGGGAUGAGCCUGCGUCCUAUUAGUUAGUUGGUGAGGUAACGGCUCACCUAGGCAAUGAUAGGUAGGCGGCCUUAACGGGUGGUCGCCCACACUGGGAUUGAGAGACGGCCCAGACUCCUACGGGAGGCAGCAGUCGAGAAUAGUCUACAAUGGACGGAAGUCUGAUAGUGCGACGCCGCGUGAACGAAGAAUCCCUUCGGGGUGUAAAGUUCUUUUAUACGUGAGCAGUGCCCUUUAUAUGAAUAGUAUAGAGGGAGGGAUUUAAGCGUAUGAAUAAGCAACGGCUAACUCCGUG